UGAGAAACCCUAUCUAUCUCGCUCUCCCUUAGGCAUAGAAGAACCCAGCAGCCCCAACUCAACACAAAAUUCUUGGUAGAUCUCCCCCAUUAAACUCUCCUCUAAUCAAAACUGAAAACUCAGUCUCCCCCAUCUCUCUUCGACAAACAUAGAACCCAUCUCAAUCACUUUUUCAAACCAUACGGCCAAACCAUCUCAAUCCCUCUCACGAGUUCUUGUUGGUGUUGAGAAGAUUUCAACACUUUCAAUCCAUAUUGUUUCACUAUUGUUGGUUAUUCAAGUUUGGCCCGUGCAGUCCGUUUGCGUACCUGAAGGUUCUGAUACUAGCAAAGAGGAGGAGAGUGGAGCUUUCCAUUAUUAUGUAUCAAGCAAUGGAAUAUAUGCAGUUUCGUGACACCAAUGAAAUUCAUGCAUCAUCAGUUUUGUGACAGCAAUGAGGAGGAGAGUGGUGCCUUCCAUUAUUAUCUAUCAAGCAAUGUACUAUCUCCUUGGAUGUCACCGACAGCAAAGGGAUCUUCAUUUUAAGAGGCAGAGUUAGAUAAGGAAUAGGGGUUGAAUUUGCAGCAGCAGUCAUGCUUUGACAGUUCUUUCAGAGGCUGGAAGAAGAGGAGGGGAGAGGCAGAAAGUAAGCAACUACUUUCAACUUAGUUUUAAGUAUAUUUUCAGUGACUAUUUGCUUCUUGACCACUGCAUUUA